AGUGAACGCUGGCGGUAGGCCUAACACAUGCAAGUCGAACGGCAGCACGGUAAGAGCUUGCUCUUACGGGUGGCGAGUGGCGGACGGGUGAGGAAUACAUCGGAAUCUACUUUUUCGUGGGGGAUAACGUAGGGAAACUUACGCUAAUACCGCAUACGACCUACGGGUGAAAGCAGGGGAUCUUCGGACCUUGCGCGAUUGAAUGAGCCGAUGUCGGAUUAGCUAGUUGGCGGGGUAAAGGCCCACCAAGGCGACGAUCCGUAGCUGGUCUGAGAGGAUGAUCAGCCACACUGGAACUGAGACACGGUCCAGACUCCUACGGGAGGCAGCAGUGGGGAAUAAUGGACAAUGGGCGCAAGCCUGAUCCAGCCAUACCGCGUGGGUGAAGAAGGCCUUCGGGUUGUAAAGCCCUUUUGUUGGGAAAGAAAAGCAGCAGGUUAAUACCCCGCUGUUCUGACGGUACCCAAAGAAUAAGCACCGGCUAACUUCGUG
rnacentral:rRNA from 1 species